UUUCUGUGGCAUGUUUUCAUGGUGUGGGAAUAAGACUUGGUGGUCAAAUACAGCUAAUAUGUAGGUUAGCACCACAGCUUGUCUGCAAGGAUUGAAGCUGGGAAACGGCCAUUGGAGCUGAAUUUUAUGAAAGCUGUGGCUGCAGCAAUGAUUAUGUGAUAAAACUGAAGAAUGUUAUUCAAAUUUUUUUUGUAUAUAUUUCAAAAAAUGUAAUUUUUUAUAAAAAAAAAAAAAAAAAAAAAAAAAAAGGUGUAAAGAUUCUCCAUUUUCAAUUAGAUUGGAAGCUUGUAUUUACAAUUGUUAGAUCUUCUUCGUUAUUCCCCCACCCCCUGUAUCUCUAUUUCAUUUUUACUUUGAAAAUGAAAUGGAGCAGACAAAUUUUACUUGUCAACUUAAUAAUGGUCUGUCUAGUCAAAAGGCCUCCAGUUGGUUUAGAAUGGAGAAUCUAAAAAAAAAUAUGUAAAGUGGUUUUUUUUAGUUUCCUGAAUUUUUAUAUACAUUUUGUUAUUGCUCCCUUUUAAUUGUUAUAAAUUCCAGAUUUUAAGUUUUGAAUUUAUGGGGCUUUAUUCAUA